UGCUCGAGAGUAGCUCAGUCGGUAGAGCAUAAGACUCUUAAUCUUGGGGUUGUAGGUUCGAGCCCCAUGUUGGGAAA